UGAUGACUCUGGAUAACUUCACUGAUCGCAGUCGGCCUUGUGUCGGCGACGGAUCUUUCAAAUGUCUGCCCUAUCAAUUUUCGAUGGUAGGUGAUCUGCCUACCAUGGUGGUAACGGGUAACGGGGAAUCAGGGUUCGAUUCCGGAGAGGGAGCCUGAGAAACGGCUACCACUUCCAAGGAAGGCAGCAGGCACGCAAAUUACCCANUCCCGGCACGGGGAGGUAGUGACGAAAAAUACGGAUACGGGACUCAACAGAGGCUCCGUAAUUCGAAUGAGUACAAUUUAAAUCCUUUAACGAGGAUCCACUGGAGGGCAAGUCUGGUGCCAGCAGCCGCGGUAACUCCAGCUCCAGCAGCGUAUAUUAAAGUUGUUGCAGUUAAAAAGCUCGUCGUUGGAUCUGGGUCGCAUGGCUACGUGCCGCUGCUCGUAUUCCCGGUCCGGUUACGACUGGGUCGGGUCUGUGAGUCGG
rnacentral:rRNA from 1 species